AAACUACAAAGGAAUUGACGGGACCCGCACAAGCGGUGGAUGAUGUGGUUUAAUUCGAUGCAACGCGAAAACCUUACCCACCUUUGACAUGGCAGGAAUCCCGAAGAGAUUUGGGAGUGCUCGAAAGAGAACCUGCACACAGGUGCUGCAUGGCUGUCGUCAGCUCGUGUCGUGAGAUGUUGGGUUAAGUCCCGCAACGAGCGCAACCCUUGCCAUUAGUUGCUACGAAAGGGCACUCUAAUGGGACUGCCGGUGACAAACCGGAGGAAGGUGGGGAUGACGUCAAGUCCUCAUGGCCCUUAUAGGUGGGGCUACACACGUCAUACAAUGGCCGGUACAGAGGGUAGCCAACCCGCGAGGGGGAGCCAAUCCCACAAAGCCGGUCGUAGUCCGGAUCGCAGUCUGCAACUCGACUGCGUGUAGUCGGAAUCGCUAGUAAUCGCGGAUCAGCAUGUCGCGGUGAAUACGUUCCCGGGUCUU
rnacentral:rRNA from 1 species